rnacentral:rRNA from 1 species
GAUGAACGCUGGCGGCGUGCCUAAUACAUGCAAGUAGAACGCUGAAGCUUGGUUCUUGCACCGAGCGGAUGAGUUGCGAACGGGUGAGUAACGCGUAGGUAACCUGCCUGGUAGCGGUGGAUCACUAUUGGAAACGCUAGCUAUUACCGUAUAACCUUAUCUCUCGCAUGGUAGCUACUUGAAAUGUUCAACUUCACUACUCCCACAUGGUCCUGCGUUGUAUUAGCUAGUUGGUGAGGUAACGGCUCACCCAGGCAACGAUCCAGAGCCGAACUGAGAGGGUGAGUGGCCAGACUGGGAGGGAGACAGGGCCCAGAGGGAUACGGGAGGGAGCAGUAGGGAAUCUUGGGCAAGGGACGGAAGUUAGACCGAGAAACGCGGAGGGAGGGAAGAAGGUUGUCGGAUGGGAAAGCACUGUUGUAAGAGAAGAAAGAGUGUGAGGGAGGAAAGAAGAGAGAGUGACGGUAUCUUAACAGAAAGCGACGGCUAACUACGUG